UAAUUUUUUCAACUUGACAGGUUCUAGAAUCAGACAGAGUUGAGUAAACCCACCCUUAAUACGGCAGCAUGUUUCAGCACGUUUCUAUGGAAUGCUAUCCCAAAGUGAGUGAAAAAUAGAAAGCAAACUGAGUAUCGCUAUUCACCUUUUUGCUUCCUUACUAUAGCAAACAGUAGCUCCCUGUGAUGAAAGACAGAGGAGGCGGGAAACACACUGUGUGUAUCUGCUCUCUCUCCCUGAGUUCUCCAUUGUUCAACUGGACUGUAGUCAUAAAACACAAGUUCAAAAGUAAGACUUUCUUUCAAAGUCAAGAAUUUCAAGAUGACAGGCCAGGUGUGGUGGCUCAGGCACCUGGGAGGUAGAGGCAGGAGGAACAAAAAUUCAAGGUCAUCCUUGACUACACAGUGGGUUUGAGGCUGCUCUGGGCAUAUUAGAUCCCGUUUGUUUAAAAUAAUAAUAAUAAUAAUAAUAAUAAUUUCAAGGCGAUGACAGUGGGUCAUUAAACUGAGGUCCUGUGUGUAGGUGUGUGGUUAGGGGCUGGCCCUACAAAGGAAAUUCCUUUCUUGGGAAAGGUCUCAGGUUCUUUUGGUUGGAGGGCAUCUGAGUUGGGAAGAAGAGUCAUGUCAUAUUGUACUCUGCUGAAAAGAUCCUAAUCCCUCAGGGUUGAAACAGAGAUCUACCUACCCAGUCUGAAGCUGGGAAUGGUGAAGAGAGUGCUUGGCAAGAGGAAAGAGAGGUGGGCUUAUUUCCACUUUCCCUAUCUCUAGCGGAGCAAGCCACUGGUUUAUUGCAGGUUGUAUUCUGAACCAGGAGAUAAUAACUACAAGGUCAGGAGAUGAUGUGAUGGCUCAUCUUGGUUACCAACUUUACUUCAUCUGGAAUCAACUGAAACCGGAGCUGCUGUUCACCCCUAUACUCCAGGAAGUCAUAGGCCAAUGAAAAGGAGGGAGAAUAAGCAAAGGCCUUACUGUGACUUGGCUUCCUGGGAACCUAAUUUUCUGAGCAACAAGAGCUUCUCCAUCUAUAACAUCCCCGCUGAGCCAAGAACUAUCACUAACUCAGCAACUGACUUCUAGCAAACAUAUUGACCAUGAAAGCCACCACUCUGAUGGACCAACCUGCCUUUGGACUUCUUGAGAGCCAACCUCAGAGCCAGAUCACGGAGCACACAAAAUACUCUUGGUGGUAACCCUCACACUGCUCUUGUAAGCUCAGUGGUUAGUGUCUGCUGUAGGUAUUUUGAGUAUCCCAAAGUUUCCGUGUUGGAGGCAUAGUUCCUAUGCAACAAUGUUGUGAGUGGGGCCUUAAAGAGGUGACUAAGGGGUGGGUGGACCAGUGAGAUGACUCAGUCAGUAAAGGUGCCCGCCAUCAAUUCAAUCCUAAAUUCACCUAAACUCAAUCCCUGGGAUCCAGUGACGGAAGAAAAUAGCUGACUACCUCAAGUUGUCUGCUGACCUCCACGUGCACACGGUGGCACGUGCACACCCUCACACAUGCACACAUAAAAUAAAUGGGUAAGAAACAUCGUAAUUUUUUUUGAAAUAAUAAUUUUUUAAAAAGAUAAAUAACAUUAUUAUUACAGAAGUAGACUAGCUUUAGAGGAAUGGAUUCUAUCCCACGCUGCAUGAUGCCUUGUGCCAAGUUAUGACAGCAUGAAUGCCUCGUCAGAUGCAUCCCCUUGACCUUGACUUUCCAGCCUCUAGGAUAGCGAGUGAAAUACAUUUCCACUCAUUAUCUACUGCCCUGAAUGGACCAGCACACUCUCACUGAUCAAAUGCAUUCUAUGUCGGCUUCGGAGCUGAAUGAUUUAUGGAAAUCUGUGCUGUUCAAGAAAACUGAAAUGCUUUGGCAUAGGCCCUGGAAGUAAUUCCCAGCGGAGAGUUUUACAAGCUGGGAAGAUUACUCAGCGGUUAAGAGCACUGGCUGCUCUUGCAGAGUUCCCAGGUUCAGUUCUCAGCAUUCACAACCGUCUAUAACUCUAGUUCCAGGGCAUCCAGUCUCUCCUGACCUUCCUGGGCAACAGGACACAUAUAGUGCUCAUGCAUACAUUCGGGCAAAACAAUACAAUAAAAUAAAGUGUAAACUUUUUUUUUAAAGAUAGGCUUAAAGUAUGGUUUGAGCACUAACCACAUUGUUGAAAUAGCUAUGGUUUCUUGGAGUGACCACUCUGAAUGGAGCAACAUUUAUUUGGAUAAACAAAUGUCAUGCCUUUAUUAAAAUAACCACUUUCAGUUCUAACAUCACAUACUUGAAUGCAUGUGCCUUUCUUAGAAUCCUAAGUGCUGACCCUUCCCUCCCGCCCUCCUUUGGCAUGAUAUUCCUAUGUAGUCUAGGCAGGCCCCAAACUCACAGUGGUCUUCAGUCUAGCCUGGUCAACCUCUCCUUGGCUUCCCGAGAGCUACAUUUACAGGAAUGUGUCACCACACCAGCCGUGAGUUAAACAGUUAUUUCUUUUGUCAGUAGGAGGUCCUUCAGGACGUGGGCCGAAUGACACUCAUAUAAAAGCAGAUCUGAGACCACUCCCCACCCCCUCGGCCCUCUGUCAUUCUCUUGGGACUUUAUCUUUUCACUUGGCUCUCACCUCCUGCUCCGGACUGUCAGAAUCUCUGGAGAGGAGGCUCUCAGUACUGAAACCACUGGACUGAUGUCUCCCUGCAACAACAAAAUGGAUCCUGAAGACGUUCCUCAGGAUGCAGGCGGCCAUGAUGACCAGGAAGAUGGCCAGGAGUGCCACAAAGCCAGGGAAGAUGUUGCUGCUCUGGCCUUUCUCUCUAGGAGGAAAACCGGGUGGUCAUGCC